AAAAACAUGUCCUUUUGUUUAUAAUUUAAGGUCUAACCUGCCCUAUGAGUUUUAAAUGGCCGCAGUAUUUUGACUGUGCAAAGGUAGCAUAAUCAAUAGUUUUUUAAUUGGAAGCUGGAAUGAAAGGUUGGAUGAGAAAAUAGCUGUCUCUAUAAAAAUUAAUUAGAAUUUUAUUUUUAAGUAAAAAAGCUUAAAUAUUAAUAGAAGACGAGAAGACCCUAUAGAGUUUUAUAUUUGAGUAUAAAAAUUUUUUUAGUAUUAUUAUAAUUUUUUAUAUUAAAAUAUUUGGUUGGGGUGAUUGGAAAAUUAAGUUAACUUUUCUUUAUUUAUACAUUUAUAAAUGUUUAUAUGAUCCUUAUUUAAAGAUUAAAAGAAAAAAUUACCUUAGGGAUAACAGCGUAAUUUUUUUUGAGAGAUCUAAUCGAAAAAAGAGUUUGCGACCUCGAUGUUGGAUUAAAGUUAAUUUAUGGUGUAGAAGCUAUAAUAUUAGGUCUGUUCGACCUUUAAAACUUUACUUGAUCUGAGUU
rnacentral:rRNA from 1 species